CUGUGGGCUCAAACCGCAGCGCAGGAGUCUCGGCCAAUCCACUAGCGAGAUGUGAAUGUUGCGGAACUUCCGCGCGCUAGAGAAUGGAGGGCUCUGUGUGGUGCGCACUAAAGGCAGCUGCCCACGAAUCGAAAGUGAAGUGGUAGGAAUGUUCGACGCACCACAGGAACCGAAGCUAAAGGACUGACUCCAAGACCAGUCACAGGACCUGAGAAGUAGCUGUAGUUGAACUCUAGGCUCACACAAGGCCUUUGUAAGCCCUCCUUGUGCUUUCUUUCUAUUGUCUGUCUCAUAUGCCAACCCUUAGAAAACAUCUGCCCUCUAUUUACAUCUGCGCACAAGAAGUCUGAAAGCUGGAUAUUUUUCAUGCCUUGAUCUGAGUAUUACUGCUCUUCAAUAAUUGUGAUAAAAUACAAAUGGCAUAAAAGUUACCAUCUUAAUCAUUAAGUAUACAGUUCAGUAGUGUUAAGUAUAUUAUUUACAUUGUUGUACAACCAAUCUCCAGAACUUCUGGAACCUGCAAAACUGAAACUCUGUACCAUUAAACAACUCUCCAUUAAC